CUGUCCCUCUGUGAGGCUGCUCCAGAAGUCAUCCGCCAUGGACAUCAGGAGGAUGAGCUGUUGCUGGAGGCCUGACAGCUGGUUCCACCAGUCAUGCCAGUACGCCAUGUCCUGGGACCCCUGGUAAUAUGUGAAUGUCUGAACUCUUGACUUCAGGGUCUCAUAUUGCAGAAUGGCAGCCACACCAAAGGAGCAACCUGUAAACUGCCAUGGAGUCAGACAACAUCCAGCGCCAUCAUACUGUUCCAAACCUCACCAUGUCAUGCAUCUACCUCUUCACAUCCACUUAAACACCAGAAUAAAAGAAGCUUCGUGAAGUUGUGUUCCGAGGGCUGACGAACUCUGUUUUUGCCCAUUUCAUCACACAUCCUCUCCACGCCAUGUUUGUGAUGACCUCCUGUUUAAGCCCGUCCCACUGCAAGACUGGAGCAGCUAAUGCAGCAUUCAAGGACUCAUCUAAAAGCUCCGACUUCUGACCUCCACCCCAGAGCUCUUAGUAUUUUCUGGAGGAGUGGAGAGAGGCACAGGGGUUGUUUAUUUCAUCUGCCAAUAAAUAUGUAUAAUAUAUCAUCUA